GACGAACGCUGGCGGCGUGCUUAACACAUGCAAGUCGAACGAAAAUACCAAGCUUGCUUGGUUGAUUAGUGGCGAACGGGUGAGUAACACGUGAGUAACCUGCCCCUUACUUUCCUGGAUAACUGCUCGAAAGGGUAGCUAAUACGGGAUAUUCUGACCAGCCUGCAUGGGUUGGUUUGGAAAGGUUGUUUUUCUGGUAAGGGAUGGGCUCGCGGCCUAUCAGCUUGUUGGUGGGGUGAUGGCCUACCAAGGCUUUGACGGGUAGCCGGCCUGGGAGGGUGGACGGUCACACUGGGACUGGGAUACGGCCCAGACUCCUACGGGAGGCAGCAGUGGGGAAUAUUGCACAAUGGGCGCAAGCCUGAUGCAGCGACGCCGCGUGAGGGAUGAAGGCCUUCGGGUUGUAAACCUCUUUCGUCAGGGAACAAGGCACUGCUUUUUUGGUGGUGUUGAGGGUACCUGGAUAAGAAGCGCCGGCUAACUACGUG
rnacentral:rRNA from 1 species